GUGUUCAUUUCAGCAACACAUAUAAUAAAAUGGAAACAAUACAGAGAUUAGUGUGGCCCCUGCAUAAGGACGACAUCCAAAUUCAUGAAAUGUCCAAAUUCAUG